AUUGGAUGAGCCCAAGUGAGAUUAGCUAGUUGGAGAGGUAAUGGCUCACCAAGGCAACGAUCUCUAGCUGGUCUGAGAGGAUGACCAGCCACACUGGGACUGAGACACGGCCCANACUCCUACGGGAGGCAGCAGUGGGGAAUAUUGCACAAUGGGGGAAACCCUGAUGCAGCCAUGCCGCGUGUGUGAAGAAGGCCUUCGGGUUGUAAAGCACUUUCAGUGGUGAGGAAAGGCAGGAGAUUAAUACUCUUCUGCUGUGACGUUAACCACAGAAGAAGCACCGGCUAACUCCGUGCCAGCAGCCGCGGUAAUAC
rnacentral:rRNA from 1 species